UCUUUGUUCCGUUGUGUACUCAUUGAGCACAUCGAGCAUUUUUUCGCCUUUUUCUCUUGCUCUUUUGUAAAUAAUUGGGUUCCGAUUUACUCAUUUGCCAUGUAUAAAGAGUAAAAGGAUACGGAUGAAUAAAACGCCGAACUUUAACA
ensembl:ncRNA F55F3.5 ncRNA